AUUGAACGCUGGCGGCAUGCCUUACACAUGCAAGUCGAACGGUAACGGGCCUUGGGGUGCCGACGAGUGGCGGACGGGGGAGUAAUACAUCGGAACGUGCCCGAUCGUGGGGGAUAACGAGGGGAAAGCUUUGCUAAUACCGCAUACGACCUACGGAUGAAAGCAGGGGACAGCAAGGGAUUUUGCGGACGGGGCGGACGAUGGCAGAUUAGGUAGUUGGUGGGAUAAAAGCUUACCAAGGCGACGAUCUGUAGCUGGUCUGAGAGGAUGAUCAGCCACACUGGGACUGAGACACGGCCCAGACUCCUACGGGAGGCAGCAGUGGGGAAUUUUGGACAAUGGGCGCAAGCCUGAUCCAGCCAUGCCGCGUGCAGGAUGAAGGCCUUCGGGUUGUAAACUGCUUUUGUACGGAACGAAAAGCCUUCUUUUAAUACAGGAGGGUCAUGACGGUACCGUAAGAAUAAGCACCGGCUAACUACGUG
rnacentral:rRNA from 1 species